CCGACUGCUAUUUGGGUGAGGAUAAGCCAUGCGAGUUGAAUGGGAAACCUAAAGUUCCCAUGGCAAACUGCUCAGUAACACAUGAUCAACUUACCCUAUAGAGAAAAAUAACCUCGGGAAACUGAGGAUAAUGUUUCAUAGUUGAAUUGGCUUGGAAAAGUUUUUCGACGAAAGGGGUAAAAAAAAUGGUUUUUAUCUGCUAUAGGAUAGGAUCGUGUUCGAUUAUGGUUGUUGGUGAGGUAAUGGCUCACCAAGCCGAUAAUCGAUAGGGGCCGUGAGAGCGGGAGCCCCGAGAUGGGUACUGAGACAACGACCCAGGCCUUACGAGGCGCAGCAGGCGCGAAACCUCCGCAAUACACGAAAGUGUGACGGGGUUACCCAAAGUGUUCAAUAGAACUGUGGUAGGUGAGUAAUGUUCCCUACUAGAAAGGAGAGGGCAAGGCUGGUGCCAGCCGCCGCGGUAAAACCAGCUCUUCAAGUGGUCGGGAUAAUUAUUGGGCUUAAAGUGUCCGUAGCCGGUUUAGUAAGUUCCUGGUAAAAUCGGGUAGCUUAACUAUCUAUAUGCUAGGAAUACUACUAUACUAGAGGGCGGGAGGGGUCUGAGGUACUGCAGGGGUAGGGGUGAAAUCUUAUAAUCCUUGUUGGACCACCAGUGGCGAAGGCGUCAGACUGGAACGCGCCCGACGGUGAGGGACGAAAGCCAGGGGAGCGAACCGGAUUAGAUACCCGGGUAGUCCUGGCCGUAAACGAUGCAUACUAGGUGAUGGCACGGCCAUGAGCCGUGUCAGUGCCGUAGGGAAACCGUUAAGUGUGCCGCCUGGGAAGUACGGUCGCAAGGCUAAAACUUAAAGGAAUUGGCGGGGGAGCACCACAAGGGGUGAAGCCUGCGGUUCAAUUGGAUUCAACGCCGGA
rnacentral:rRNA from 1 species